AAAAAUGACAACCGCCCUAUCCCUAAAAGCAUAUGAAGAUGAUGUAACCAUACAUUGGGAGGAGGCUAAGGUCGUUAAGCAAAUAACGGAUCCAACACAAACUGUUUAUAGGGAAACACUUGAGAUACUCACUUGCCGAAGCAAAGAAAAUAUAAUCAAUGAAAACCCUACCACGAGAAUACCAGAAGCAUGGGAAUAUCUUCUCCGGAGAUUAGAGUGAAUGGCGGGGGAUGCUCGACCAAUUCCAGCAACCUUGGAGUGGUGCAUCGCUACAUGGGGGGGUCGUGCCGGCAACUCAGUG
rnacentral:lncRNA from 1 species